GUCUUGAAGGUCAUGGUCCCUGCUCACCUGUCCCCGGUGUGCCCCCAGCUUGGCGGCCCCAUGUGGGCAGAGCCCAUCCAUGACCUGGAUUUUGUGGGCCGUGUCCUGGAGGCUGUGAGCGCUAACCCCGGCCGCUUCCACACCUCGGAGCGGAUCCGAGGGGUCUUGAGCGUCAUCACUGAGGAGCUCCCGGACGUGCCUCUGUACUACACCCUGGACCAGCUGAGCAGCACCAUCCACUGCAACACACCAAGCCUCCUGCAGUUGCGGUCGGCCCUCCUCCACGCUGACUUCCGGGUCUCACUCUCCCACGCCUGUAAGAACGCUGUGAAGACGGAUGCCCCUGCCUCUGCC
rnacentral:sRNA from 1 species